AGUGAGCGCUGGCGGCGUGCUUAACACAUGCAAGCCGAACGAGAACGGAUUAUAGCUUGCUAUAAUUGUCAGCUAAGUGGCGCACGGGUGAGUAAUGUAUAGGUAAUAUGCCUCUUACUAAGGGAUAACAAAUGGAAACGUUUGCUAAUACCUUAUACUCCUUAUUAACAGAAGUUAAUAAGGGAAAGAUUUAUUGGUAAGAGAUUAGCCUGUAUUGUAUCAGUUAGUUGGUGGGGUAAUGGCUUACCAAGACUAUGACACAUAACUGGUUUGAGAGGAUGAUCAGUCACACUGGAACUGAGACACGGUCCAGACUCCUACGGGAGGCAGCAGUGGGGAAUAUUGCACAAUGGACGAAAGUCUGAUGCAGCAACGCCGCGUGGAGGAUGACACAUUUCGGUGCGUAAACUCCUUUUAUAUGAGAAGAUAAUGACGGUAUUAUAUGAAUAAGCACCGGCUAACUCCGUGCCAGCCGCCGCUGUAA
rnacentral:rRNA from 1 species